rnacentral:rRNA from 1 species
AUUGAACGCUGGCGGCAUGCCUUACACAUGCAAGUCGAACGGUAACAGGUCUUCGGAUGCUGACGAGUGGCGAACGGGUGAGUAAUACAUCGGAACGUGCCUAGUAGUGGGGGAUAACUACUCGAAAGAGUGGCUAAUACCGCAUGAGAUCUACGGAGGAAAGCAGGGGAUCGCAAGACCUUGUGCUACUAGAGCGGCCGAUGGCAGAUUAGGUAGUUGGUGGGAUAAAAGCUUACCAAGCCGACGAUCUGUAGCUAGUCUGAGAGGACGAUCAGCCACACUGGGACUGAGACACGGCCCAGACUCCUACGGGAGGCAGCAGUGGGGAAUUUUGGACAAUGGGCGAAAGCCUGAUCCAGCAAUGCCGCGUGCAGGAUGAAGGCCUUCGGGUUGUAAACUGCUUUUGUACGGAACGAAAAGCCCCGGGUUAAUACCCUGGGGUCAUGACGGUACCGUAAGAAUAAGCACCGGCUAACUACGUGCCAGCAGCCGCGGUAA